rnacentral:lncRNA from 1 species
GAUGUAACUAUAUAUUGAUAGUUACCUGGAUAGUUACAUGCAUGCUACACUUGUGUACCUGCCUAUGUAACGAUUCAUUUAUGUAACUAUGCAUGUAGUUAUCCAUCUAUGUAACUAUGCAUGUAACUAUCCAUGUAACAAUUCAUGUAACUAUCCAUGUAACCAUCCAUCUUAUGCAUGUAACUAUUGAUGUAACUAUAUAUUGAUAGUUACCUGGAUAGUUACAUGCAUGCUACACUUGUGUACCUGCCUAUGUAACGAUUCAUUUAUGUAACUAUGCAUGUAGUUAUCCAUCUAUGUAACUAUGCAUGUAACUAUCCAUGUAACAAUUCAUGUAACUAUCCAUGUAACCAUCCAUCUAUGUAAUUAUCCAUGUAAUUAUCCAUGUAACUAUCAAUGUAACUACAGAUUGCUAGUUACAUGGGUAGUUACAUUGCUAGUUACAUGGAUUUUAAUAGAUUUUUGUUCUAAUAUGUAGCGUGCCGUUGCCGUUGCAGUGCAGCGGCACACUGCAAUUAUUAUUAUGUAAAUGACUUGUGUACCUACAUUAAGCUACUUAUCUAACUAUCAAUGUAACUAUGCAUGCAACUAUCCAUCUAUGUAACUAUGCAUGUAACUACCGACUGAUAGUUACAUGUGUAGCUUCAUACAUUCUACAUAACAAGCUACACCUUUUUUUUUCUCACACAGAACAUAGAAUAUGACAAAGUAAAAUAAUCUGUAUUAAUUGUAAAUCAUCAAAUUAAGAAUACCUAGGAAAACAAUUUAGUGUCAACACAACUCUUAGAACUCUGGCUUUCCUCAUUCAUCGUUUAAUCCAAAAUUCAUUACAAAAUAGAGCAGAAAGGGAAAGGGAACCAUUAUUGUCACCAUGCUUCAGUGCACUUAAUAUUGAUUUCAGUAUGACUUUAUCACUACCUUCCUUCAAUGCAAUCUGCAUAAGUAUAAAACAUUAUAAAGUUGUUUGGGUGUUGAAAAACCCAAAAACAGAAACAUCAAGCUUAAUAAAUAGAGAUAUGUUCCACACAAAUAAUCUUUCAUUUAGCUGUUCAAUAAAACCGCCAACUCUCUGCAUCUCCUUAAACACUUUAAAUCCUUAAACACUUGUUUGGUAGACUUUUCUCCUUCAUUUUCCAGUUUUCUGCAGAAUGACCUUGCCUCCUCCCGAUGGCUAUANNNN